UGGAUGGCAGAGAGAAAGAGAUUGUGGGCAGUCUAGGAGCUAUAGAGGUAGGGAAGUCAAGUGGAUGGCAGAGAGAAAUAGAUUGUGGGCAGUCUAGGAGCUAUAGAGGUAGGGAAGUCAAGUGGAUGGCAGAGAGAAAGAGAUUGUGGGCAGUCUAGGAGCAAUAGAGGUAGGGAAGUCAAGUGGAUGGCAGAGUGAAAUAGGGUGUGGGCAGUCUAGGAGCUAAAGAGGUAGGGAAGUCAAGUGGAUAGCAGAGUGAAAUAGAUUGUAGGCAUUCUAGGAGCUAUAGAGGUAGGGAAGUCAAGUGGAUGGCAGAAUGAAAUAGGUUGUGGGCAGUCUAGGAGCAAUAGAGAUAGGGAAGUCAAGUGGAUGGCAGAGAGAAAGAGAUUGUGGGCAGUCUAGGAGCUAUAGAGGUAGGGAAGUCAAGUGGAUGGCAGAGAGAAAUAGAUUGUGGCAGUCUAGGAGCUAUAGAGGUAGGGAAGUCAAGUGGAUUGCAGAGAGAAAUAGAUUGUGGGCAGUUUGUGCUACAGAGGUAGGGAAGUCAAGUGGAUGGCAGAGAGAAAGAGAUUGUGGGCAGUUUGUGCUACAGAGGUAGGGAAGUCAAGUGGAUGGCAGAGAGAAAGAGAUUGUGCAUAGUCUAGGAGCUAUAGAGAUAGGGAAGUCAAGUGGAUGGCAGAGAGAAAGAGAUUGUGGGCAGUCUAGGAGCUAUAGAGGUAGGGAAGUCAAGUGGAUGGCAGAGAGAAAUAGAUUGUGGGCAGUCUAGGAGCUAUAGAGGUAGGGAAGUCAAGUGGAUGGCAGAGAGAAAUAGAUUGUGGGCAGUCUAGGAGCUAUAGAGGUAGGGAAGUCAAGUGGAUGGCAGAGAGAAAUAGAUUGUGGGCAGUCUAGGAGCUAUAGAGAUAGGGAAGUCAAGUGGAUGGCAGAGUGAAAUAGAUUGUGGGCAGUCUAGGAGCUAUAGAGGUAGGGAAGUCAAGUGGAUGGCAGAGUGAAAUAGAUUGUGGGCAGUCUAGGAACAAAAGAGGUAGGGAAGUCAAGUGGAUGGCAGGGAGAAAGAGAUUGUGGGCAUUCUAGGAGCUAUAGAGGUAGGGAAGUCAAGUGUAUGGCAGAGUGAAAGAGAUUUUGGGCAGUCUAGGAGCUAUAGAGGUAGGGAAGUCAAGUGGAUGGCAGAGUGAAAUAGAUUGUGGGCAGUCUAGGA